ACUACAAAAUUUCCAGACUGCGAAAGCGAUCGACGAGACGUGAAUAAAAGUAAAAGCAAAGUGAAAAUAGCAAAAUAAUGAAAAAGAAGACUUACGCUUUCCUCUGACUGCAAACGACACUGAAAUCUCUGCAGGUUCACCAGACUGCAACUCUCCCUCUUUUUCGUUCACACCGCUGUCUUACUCUUCACGAUCGUGCAGGUGCGAGGAUAAUCCGCGAUCUAGCGGCCGGACAACGGUCAGCGCGGCUGCGCCAGCCGUUUCAACCCUCUCUGCGUCGCGCGACGCAUCGUGCAACCACCCCGACGAAACGAAAGUGAAUGGCCCGUAGCGUGUACGAUCAAAACGCGACACCGCGUUCGAUAAAAGGGACUAUUGGGGAAGAAAUGUCCCGCGUAUAAUUAUUCAAGAUGGAUUACUUGGAUUCUUGUUUCUUUUUUUUUACGAUGAUGGAUGUUGUUAUUUUGAGUACUUUCAAUGGCAUCUUUUCUUCACGACGCAUACUGAGAUCGAUUUGCAUCGAUAUGUCGGAAAGAAUUAUUUUUGUACGCAGAUCGUAUUGAACUAAAGUGAAUUUUUAUUUUCGUACAGGAUAAACAGAUGAGAUAACUACGUAAUAAAAAGAUGUAGCUAUA